AUGGCCGCCUACAAACUGGUGCUGAUCUGGCACGGCAAGAGCGUGUGGAAACUGGAGAACCGCUUCAGCGGCUGGUGCAAUGUAGACCUGAGCUCUGCAGGCCACAAGGAGGCCAAGUGUGGUGGGCAGGCACUGCAAGAUGCUGGCCAUGGGUUUCACAUGUGUUUCAUCUCAAUGCAGAAGACAACGAUCCGGAACCUCUCUGUACAGUGCUAAGUGCCAUUGAUCAGAUGUGGCUGCCAGUAGUGAGGACUUAGCGCCUCAGUGGGAUCUCACCGGUCUCAGUAAAGCAGAGACUGCUACAAAGCAUGGUGAGACCCAGGUAAAGAUCUGGAGGUGCUCCCAUGAUGUCACACCACCUCCAAUGGAGCCUGACCAUCCUUUCUACAGCAACAUCAGUAAGGAUCGCAGGUAUCCAGACCUCAAAGAUCAGACACCCUCCUUUGAGGGUCUGAAGAACACUAUUGCCAGAGCUCUGCCCUUCUGGAAUGAAGAAAUAGUUCUCCAGAUCAAGGAGGGGAAAUGGGUACUGAUUGCUGCCCAUGGCAACAGUCUUUGGGGCAUUGUCAAGCAUCUGGAGGGUCUCUCUGAAGAGGCUAUCAUGGAGCUGAACCUGCCGACUGGUACUCCCAUUGUUUAUGAAUUGGACAAGAACUUGAAGCCCAUCAAUCCCAUGUAGCUCCUGGGAGAUAAAGAGACCGUGCGUAAAGCCAUGGAAGCUGUGGCUACCCAGGUCAAGGCCAAGAAGUGAAAGCCAGAGGGCAAGCUAUUGUCCCCAGGAGCAUGUUCCCUGCCUGUCUCGCCCCUUUGCCCCUCCCUCCUGCACAUGUCACACUGUCCACAUCUGUAGGCAUCUUGAGUUGUAGCUGCAGAUGGGGACCAGUAGCUCCCAUUUUCAUUUUAGCCAUUUUGUCUCCUGCACCCAUUUCCUUCAUACAUUCUAGUCAGAGUAGCACUUCUAGGGCACAAGUUCUCAGUCCAAGCUGUGGAAAAGUUCCCCUUAUCCAAAAGUGUUUAAAGGUAGUGAGUUGGGUUUUUUUGAGUGCUUUGUUUACUAAGGACUUGUGGGGAAGAAUCAUGCUAAGCCAUGACCAAUGAAGAGAAGCAAGAGAGGCUGUCUGCCCCCAGGAACCAGUCCUGUAUUCUUCUGCAGUCAGGCCAUUGCCUGGGGGCUAUAGUCAUUCCAGUGGAAGACGAAUGUAACCUGCAUGGUGAUGUGACAACUGUUUCCUCCCUGGCCCCAGAGGAACUGGCUCUAGAAGGUUGGGACAGAUCCUAAAUUUAGUUUGUGUGUUACAUUUACUUUUAUAUAUAUAAAAAAGAAAGUAUAGUAUAUAUA